GACCGCUUAGCUUAGUUGGAAGAGCAUUGGGCUAGUAUUCCAAAGGUCGUAGGUUCGAAUCCCACCGUGGCCG